GCACCCGUAGCUCAGCGGAUAGAGCGAGUCUUUGCUAGGGACCGGGUCGCAGGUUCGAAUCCUGCCGGGUGCA
rnacentral:tRNA from 1 species